UACGUAGGGUGCGAGCGUUGUCCGGAAUUAUUGGGCGUAAAGAGCUUGUAGGCGGUUUGUCGCGUCUGCCGUGAAAAUUCGAGGCUCAACCUCGAACUUGCGGUGGGUACGGGCAGACUAGAGUGUGGUAGGGGAGACUGGAAUUCCUGGUGGAGCGGUGAAAUGCGCAGAUAUCAGGAGGAACACCCGUAGCGAAGGCGGCACUCUGGGCCGAUACUGACACUGAGGAGCGAAAGCGUGGGGAGCGAACAGG
rnacentral:rRNA from 1 species